rnacentral:rRNA from 1 species
AAUGAACGUUGGCGGCGUGGAUUAGGCAUGCAAGUCGCGCGAGAAGUCAUUUAGCUUGCUAAAAGACGGACAGCGGCGGAAGGGAGAGUAACGCGUGGUUAUGUACCCUCGAGACCGGGAUAGUGUCGGGAAACUGGCAGUAAUACCGGAUAACAUCUUCGGAUCAAAUGGUGUGAUUCCGCUCGAGGAUCGGACCGCGUACUAUUAGCUAGUUGGAGGGGUAAUGGCCCACCAAGGCUUAGAUGGUUACCGGGUGUGAGAGCAUGGCCCGGCUCACUGGGACUGAGACACUGCCCAGACAUCUACGGAUGGCUGCAGUCGAGAAUCUUCGGCAAUGGACGAAAGUCUGACCGAGCGACGCCGCGUGCGGGAUGAAGGCCUUCGGGUUGUAAACCGCUGUCAGUUAGGAGGAAAUCCAUGAGGGUUCUCUCUCAUGGUUGACCGAUUUUCAGAGGAAGGACGGGCUAAGUUCGUGCCAGCCGCCGCCGUAACAC